GGCCUACGGACGCAAGACUAAAACUCAAAGGAAUUGACGGGGACCCGCACAAGCGGUGGAGCAUGUGGUUUAAUUCGAUGCAACGCGAAAAACCUUACCACUCCUUGACAUGGAGAUUAGAUCCUUCUUAACAGAAGGGCGCAGUUCGGCUGGACCUCGCACAGGUGCUGCAUGGCUGUCGUCAGCUCGUGUCGUGAGAUGUUGGGUUAAGUCCCGCAACGAGCGUAACCCUCAUCCUUAGUUGCCAGCGGGUAAGCCGGGCACUUUAAGGAAACUGCCGGUGGUAAACCGGAGGAAGGUGGGGAUGAUGUCAAGUCAGCACGGCCCUUAUGGGGUGGGCUACACACGUGCUACAAUGGUGACUACAAUAGGUUGCAAUGUCGCAAGGCUGAGCUAAUCCGUAAAAGUCAUCUCAGUUCGGAUUGUCCUCUGCAACUCGAGGGCAUGAAGUCGGAAUCGCUAGUAAUCGUGGAUCAGCAUGCCACGGUGAAUACGUUCUCGGGUCUUGUACACACUGCCCGUCACGCCAUGGGAAUUGGCUUAACUCGAAGCUGGUGCGCUAACCGAAAGGAAGCAGCCAUCAA
rnacentral:rRNA from 1 species